rnacentral:rRNA from 1 species
CCCUUAGAUGUUCUGGGCCGCACGCGCGCUACACUGAUGCAUUCAACGAGCCUAUCCUUGACCGACAGGUCCGGGUAAUCUUUGAAUCUGCAUCGUGACGGGGAUAGAUUAUUGCAAUUAUUAAUCUUCAACGAGGAAUGCCUAGUAGGCGCAAGUCAUCAGCUUGCGUCGAUUACGUCCCUGCCCUUUGUACACACCGCCCGUCGCUCCUACCGAUUGGGUGUGCUGGUGAAAUGUUCGGAUCGGCCGUUUGUCGCGGUUUCCGCGUCAUGUGGCUGGUAAGUUCAUUAAACCCUCCCACCUAGAGGAAGGAGAAGUCGUAACA